CCGCCAGACCCAGUAUCUCUCUUCCCCCCAUAUGCAUCCCCGCCUCUCCUUCUCGAUUCGACUUCGAUUUCGCUCAGCUGCGCGCUUCGAUUUGCUUUUAUUUUUUCUCGGCCUGCUCGUUCUCCGAUAUUUCCUAUGGAUCGGAGGUUGGUUGUUCGCGGAUCUCGGUGAUGACCUGUGAUGUUAAAGUAGUGGCCUGAUUCAUAUGUUGAUGAGAUCUAUACUAUCACCCAGAGGGAUCUGAGCCAACAAGCAACCCGACCUUGUUGCUCGUCUUGGGAUCUCGUUUUUGCUAUUUGCCUGAGAUGUUUCUGACUCUGUUUCGGCCUCCCGAUGACUGGACAAAUUUUAAGUUUCAGCCUUGUCUGAAAAAUACCAAUCUGUUUAUACAUCUAUGCAAAUGUUUCUGAGGGACUAUUCUUUUUGAGAUACUUUCUUUUGUUUUAUCUUGUAUGCUAGAUCUAAUGCUUAAAGCUGUCCGAUGAUGAUGAAACUAAACACUUUCGUUCUUCUGAUGCGCUAUCUCAUGGCGCGGUGCGGAAGCAAUUUGGAGACCUGAACUGAGGAAAAGCUUGGUCGUGUCCAAUUUUUUGUGUAUUUCAAUUUUUUUGCUUGCAUUUUGCGAUUGAGAUAUUGUUUUGUGUUUGUUGCUUCACAACUGGAAGGAUGGCCUGUUGAUAUCAGUUUGGUCAUCCCGUAGAAGGAAGCAUAGACGGACGGAAACACCGGCCAGCAUAUUUUUGUUUCUUGAGAUUCGUAUGUCUCCAUCGUCUGUUUUCCCUUCCAUUCCCGACUUCUUUGUCGCCCGUGCAACCUGUCUUCUCUGCAUCCAUCCCCUGCAUACGGCUCGGAGGUGGGAGGUUGUUGGCUGGUGGCUGAAAUGAAAAUAGAGGAGGGAGGGGCGGUGGAGCUGGUUGAUGGACAUGCGGCGGUGGCGGCAAAGGGGACCAAAGUCUUUAUAUUUUAGGACUUUUGUCCCUUCGCCGCCGCCGCCACCUCCCAUCCAUCCCUCAACUCCGCCGCCUCUCUCUCUUCAAUUUCAGCCCCCAGCCAACAACCUCCUAGUUCCCAACCGUGUGAUCUGGAUAACGCAUUGCAUUUAUUUCGGCGAAAUAAAGCCAGCAAUUUGGUGUGGUGCGGAAGCAAUUUGGAGACCUGAAUUGAGGAAAUGCUUGAUUAUAUCGUUUGUCCAGUUUUGCGAUUGAAAAACUAUUUUAUGUAACUGGAAGGAUGGCCUAUUGAUAACAGUUUGGUCAUCCCGUAGAGGGAAGCAUAGACGGACGGAAACACCGGCCAGCAUUAAACAGCACGACGCUCAAUCAAACUGCGUCGUGUUACCUGUCUUCUGGCACAUCUCAACACAAAUGUGCAUGUUUUUAUUUCUUGAGAUUCAUGCGCCUCCUUCUCCUGUUUUCCCUUCCUUCCCUGACCUUGUCGCCCGCAUGACCCCAUC